UGGGGAAUAUUGCACAAUGGGCGCAAGCCUGAUGCAGCCAUGCCGCGUGUAUGAAGAAGGCCUUCGGGUUGUAAAGUACUUUCAGCGAGGAGGAAGGCGGUAAGGUUAAUAACCUUAUCGAUUGACGUUACUCGCAGAAGAAGCACCGGCUAACUCCGUGCCAGCAGCCGCGGUAAUACGGAGGGUGCAAGCGUUAAUCGGAAUUACUGGGCGUAAAGCGCACGCAGGCGGUCUGUCAAGUCGGAUGUGAAAUCCCCGGGCUCAACCUGGGAACUGCAUUCGAAACUGGCAGGCUAGAGUCUUGUAGAGGGGGGUAGAAUUCCAGGUGUAGCGGUGAAAUGCGUAGAGAUCUGGAGGAAUACCGGUGGCGAAGGCGGCCCCCUGGACAAAGACUGACGCUCAGGUGCGAAAGCGUGGGGAGCAAACA
rnacentral:rRNA from 1 species